AGGUAACCCUACCUCAUAGCGGGGGAUAACUAUUGGAAACGAUAGCUAAUACCGCAUAAAAGUGUUUAACCCAUGUUAAACAUUUAAAAGGUGCAAUUGCAUCACUAAUGAGAUGGACCUGCGUUGUAUUAGCUAGUUGGUGAGGUAACGGCUCACCAAGGCGACGAUACAUAGCCGACCUGAGAGGGUGAUCGGCCACACUGGGAACUGAGACACGGCCCAGACUCCUACGGGAGGCAGCAGUAGGGAAUCUUCGGCAAUGGACGGAAGUCUGACCGAGCAACGCCGCGUGAGUGAAGAAGGUUUUUCGGAUCGUAAAGCUCUGUUGUUAGAGAAGAAUGAUGGUGGGAGUGGAAAAUCCACCAUGUGACGGUAACUAACCAGAAAGGGACGGCUAACUACGUUGCCAGCAGCCGCGGUAAUACGUAGGUCCCGAGCGUUGUCCGGAUUUAUUGGGCGUAAAGCGAGCGCAGGCGGUUCUUUAAGUCUGAAGUUAAAGGCAGGUGGCUCAACCAUUGUACGCUUUGGAAACUGGAGAACUUGAGUGCAGAAGGGGAGAGUGGAAUUCCAUGUGUAGCGGUGAAAUGCGUAGAUAUAUGGAGGGAACACCGGUGGCGAAAGCGGCUCUCUGGUCUGUAACUGACGCUGAGGCUCGAAAGCGUGGGGAGCAAACAGGAUUAGAUACCCUGGUAGUCCACGCCCGUAAACGAUGAG
rnacentral:rRNA from 1 species